rnacentral:rRNA from 1 species
UUCGCAAUGCCCGAAAGGGUGACGAAGCGACGCCGCGUGAGUGAGGAAGGCCUUCGGGUUGUAAAGCCCUGUCAGGAGUUAAGAAAUGUAAAUGUGUUAAUACCCCGUUUAUUUGACGAAGGCUCCAAAGGAAGCCACGGCUAACUCUGUGCCAGCAGCCGCGGUAAUACAGAGGUGGCAAGCGUUGAUCGGAAUUAUUGGGCGUAAAGAGCACGUAGGUGGGUUUGUAAGUCAGAUGUGAAAGCCUUCUGUUCAACGGAAGAAUUGCAUCUGGAACUGCAAAUCUUGGGUAUAGGAGGGGAGAAUGGAACUUCUGGUGGAGCGGUGAAAUGCGUAGAUAUCAGAAGGAACGCCGGCGGCGAAAGCGAUUCUCUGGUCUAUUACUGACACUCAGUGUGCGAAAGCUAGGGGAGCAAACGGGAUUAGAUACCCCGGUAGUCCUAGCUGUAAACGAUGGGCACUAAGUAGAGGGGUUUU